AUUGAACGCUGGCGGCAGGCCUAACACAUGCAAGUCGAGCGGAUGAAGGGAGCUUGCUCCUGGAUUCAGCGGCGGACGGGUGAGUAAUGCCUAGGAAUCUGCCUGGUAGUGGGGGAUAACGUCCGGAAACGGGCGCUAAUACCGCAUACGUCCUGAGGGGGAAAGUGGUGGAUCUUCGGACCUCACGCUAUCAGAUGAGCCUAGGUCGGAUUAGCUAGUUGGUGGGGUAAAGGCCUACCAAGGCGACGAUCCGUAACUGGUCUGAGAGGAUGAUCAGUCACACUGGAACUGAGACACGGUCCAGACUCCUACGGGAGGCAGCAGUGGGGAAUAUUGGACAAUGGGCGAAAGCCUGAUCCAGCCAUGCCGCGUGAGUGAAGAAGGUCUUCGGAUUGUAAAGCACUUUAAGUUGGGAGGAAGGGCAGUAAGUUAAUACCUUGCUGUUUUGACGUUACCAACAGAAUAAGCACCGGCUAACUUCGUG
rnacentral:rRNA from 1 species